AGAAGUUAUAGUAGAAAGAAUCUGAGAUUCCUAUAAUAAUUUAAACUGGCAUUGUUCUGUUGGAGGACCUUCUGUAACUGAAAACUUCUGGUUCAUUAUUCUAACAUUCUAUUGCUAGAUUGAAUUUCUUCACCUUUAUGAUUAUGCUUGUUAUGUUUUAAAGCCAAAAGCUGUUCAGGGAGGGCUCAUUUGAGAAUUGACAGAUGGAAACAUUUUAAUGUUGGUAUAAAUUCAGGGACAUGAGGAAAGAUUCAUAAUCUUGGAAGAAAACAGAGACCUAGAUCUUAGUGAUUUGGGGUUAGGUAAGGGUUCUUAGGUGGUAACACCAAAAGCACAAAUGACAAAAAAAAAUAUUGAAAAUUCAAAAUUUAAAAAAACCUCCAUUUCAAAGGACACCCUCAAGUAGGUGAGAAGACAGUACACAGCAGAGUACUGUACAAAAUAAUUGCAGACUAUCUGAGGGACUUGCAGCUUUAAUUCAUACAUUAAAAAACGUAUCACUCAAUAAAAUACCAAAUUUCAAAGUAGGCAAAAGUUCUGUAGUGGACUUACACUGAAGGCCUGUCAGCGUUGUUAGCAUGUUCAACAUCAUUAAACAGAGGGAAGGCAAGUCUCACCCCUGUGAGAUGUCACUUCACCCCCACUAGGAAGGUUGUUAUCAAAAAAGACAAAAUUUUUGACAAAGAAGUGGGCAUGGAGGCUUGGGGGGGGUGGCGGUAAAAUGGUGCACCCUCUGUGGAAAACUGUCAAUUCCUUACAAAAAGACACGUAGAAUUAGCGUAACCCGACAAUUGCACUGCUAGGUACAGGCCUAAAUGAAAGCAAAACAGGUGUUCAGACAAAUGCUGUGCACGAGUGCUCGUGGCACUGUUCACAAUAACCAAAACGUGGAAACAACCCAGAUAUCAUCUAUUGGUGGAAGGAUAGACAAGGUGUAUUAUAUCUGCACAACAAAAUAUUACCUGAUAAUAAAGUUUAUAUACAGGCUACCACAUGGCUAAAUCUUUAAAGCGUGCUAAGUGAAAGAUGUCAUUUAUAAAAUGCCACAUUUUGUGUGAAUCCCUUAAUAUGAAUGUUCAGAAUAUGCAAAUCCAUGGGGGCAAUGUGGCUACCUAGGGCCAGGAAGGAGGGCUGGGGAAACAGGGGUGGCUGCUGAUGGGCAUGGUUUCUCUUGGAGGUAUUGAAAUGUUCUGAAAUGAUUAUGGUGAUGGUUAUACAACUCAGAAUAUACUAAAAGUCAUUGAAUUCCAUACUUUACAUGGGAGAACUGUAGGAUAUGGGAAUUUUAUUUCAAUAAAGC
rnacentral:lncRNA from 1 species